rnacentral:rRNA from 1 species
UGGGGAAUAUUGGACAAUGGGCGCAAGCCUGAUCCAGCCAUGCCGCGUGAGUGAUGAAGGCCCUAGGGUUGUAAAGCUCUUUUGUGCGGGAAGAUAAUGACGGUACCGCAAGAAUAAGCCCCGGCUAACUUCGUGCCAGCAGCCGCGGUAAUACGAAGGGGGCUAGCGUUGCUCGGAAUCACUGGGCGUAAAGGGUGCGUAGGCGGGUCUUUAAGUCAGAGGUGAAAUCCUGGAGCUCAACUCCAGAACUGCCUUUGAUACUGAGGAUCUUGAGUUCGGGAGAGGUGAGUGGAACUGCGAGUGUAGAGGUGAAAUUCGUAGAUAUUCGCAAGAACACCAGUGGCGAAGGCGGCUCACUGGCCCGAUACUGACGCUGAGGCACGAAAGCGUGGGGAGCAAACCAGGAUUAGAUACCCCUGGUAGUCCACGCCGUAAACGAUGAAUGCCAGCCGUUGGUGGGUUUACUCACCAGUGGCGCAGCUAACGCUUUAAGCAUUCCGCCUGGGGAGUACGGUCGCAAGAUUA